CGAAAUUGCAAGUUAUGAAUUCCUAAAAAAAAAAAAUAAGUGACACAUUCAAAAAUGAUAAUUACAAUGAUUUGUUAAGUAAUAAGAUGAUAUGCGGGGAAAUAACAUAUAAUGAAAUCCUCCAAAAAUUUAGUUGAAAUUACGCUAAUGUUGGUGCUCGUGGCGAAACAAAAGUGAUAAAUUCCUAUGAAAUUGUAGCUUUUGAAUUAUAGUAACCACAUUUUAAAAUAUUUACAUCUUCGGAAGGUCCUACCUGAUAUAUUGGGGUUACUUGAGGUUAUCACAGAGCCUAUUCUCAUCAUAGCUAUAAAAAUAAUGAUCAAGACACGAGUACUUAUCAACAAAUGGAAACACCAAGUUUUAUCAGCUUACAAAGAAAACGCUAACAUUUUAGUUUUUUGAUAAUACGCAAACACACAUACACGAAUUAUAUUAUAUGUAAGUCAACCCUAAAUUAAAUAUACUUCAUCUUUUAUU